rnacentral:rRNA from 1 species
UUCCUACGGGACGCAGCAGUGGGGGAUAUUGCACAAUGGGGGAAACCCUGAUGCAGCGACGCCGCGUGGGUGAAGAAGCGCCUCGGCGCGUAAAGCCCUGUCAGCAGGGAAGAAAAUGACGGUACCUGAAGAAGAAGCCCCGGCUAACUACGUGCCAGCAGCCGCGGUAACACGUAGGUGGCGAGCGUUAUCCGGAAUGAUUGGGCGUAAAGGGUGCGCAGGCGGUCCUGCAAGUCUGGAGUGAAACGCAUGAGCUCAACUCAUGCAUGGCUUUGGAAACUGGAUGCCUGGAGACC